ACGCUUGAAGUCAGUCGCGUUGUCCAGGGAUCAACCUUGCUUUUGCUUGGUGUACUUUCUGUUCGACGGGUCAGCAUCAAUUUUGACUGUUGGAAAAAGGUCAGGGGAAUGUGGCAUCUUUGGAUGUGUUAUAGCCCUUGGUCAUAUACAAUGGUUGGGAUUGAGGAACUCAGCACGCCGCAAGGCCGAGUAACCUGUUUACUACGUACGUGCUUAGGAUGUUGGCAUAAUGGCUUUAAUCGACCCGUCUUGAAACACGGACCAAGGAGUC
rnacentral:rRNA from 1 species